AUGAGGGGGUUUAAUGAUAAAUGGUGUGGAUGGAUUAAAAAGAUCCUGAAUGAUGGCACGGUGAGUAUCAAGUUGAAUAACGAAACUGGACCUUAUUUUGUGAGUCGCAAAGGGGUUCGCCAGGGCGACCCCCACUCACCUUUUUUGUUCAAUCUAGCGGUUGAGUGCCUCUCGAAGAUGAUCUUCAAUGCUCAAAAGGAAAAAUUGAUCACUGGCUUAGCCCCUGAUCUUAUUGAGGGGGGAGUUGCUGUGUUGCAAUACGCAGAUGAUACGGUGUUAUGCUUCGAGCAUGACACAUCUGCUGCAAUCAACCUCAAAUUGCUUCUUUACAUGUUUGAGCUCAUGUCAGGCUUGAAAAUUAACUACCUUAAGAGCGAAAUCCUGUGUGUAGGGGGUGAUGACAAUAUCCUUAGUUACUAUGCAGAGCUCUUCAACUGCCAAAUUGGUCAUUUUCCUAUGCGUUACUUAGGAGUACCAGUUAGUUUCUCCUCUUUAAGAUGCCUGGAGUGGAUUUUUGUUGAUGACAAAUUUGGCAAGUGCUGUGAGGCCUGGAUAGGCAAUGCUGCUUCAUCGGGUGGCAGACUUACGCUGCUGAACUCCUCCUUGUCCAGUAUAGUCUAUUACUAUAUGGCUAUGUUCCUUCUCCCUAAAACUUUCAUUGAAAAAUUG
rnacentral:rRNA from 1 species